rnacentral:rRNA from 1 species
UACGGGGGGGGCAAGCGUUGUUCGGAAUUACUGGGCGUAAAGGGCUCGUAGGUGGCCAACUAAGUCAGACGUGAAAUCCCUCGGCUUAACCGGGGAACUGCGUCUGAUACUGGAUGGCUUGAGUUUGGGAGAGGGACGCGGAAUUCCAGGUGUAGCGGUGAAAUGCGUAGAUAUCUGGAGGAACACCGGUGGCGAAGGCGGCGUUCUGGACUGUUUCUGACACUGAAUAACGAAAGCCAGGGGAGCAAACGGG